rnacentral:rRNA from 1 species
AACGAACGCUGGCGGCAGGCCUAACACAUGCAAGUCGAACGCCCUAGCAAUAGGGAGUGGCAGACGGGUGAGUAACACGUGGGAACCUUCCCUAUAGUACGGAAUAGCCCAGGGCAACUUGGAGUAAUACCGUAUACGCCCGUGAGGGGAAAGAUUUAUCGCUAUAGGAUGGGCCCGCGUAGGAUUAGCUAGUUGGUGAGGUAAUGGCUCACCAAGGCGACGAUCCUUAGCUGGUUUGAGAGAACGACCAGCCACACUGGGACUGAGACACGGCCCAGACUCCUACGGGAGGCAGCAGUGGGGAAUAUUGGACAAUGGGCGCAAGCCUGAUCCAGCCAUGCCGCGUGAGUGAUGAAGGCCUUAGGGUUGUAAAGCUCUUUUAGCAGGGAAGAUAAUGACUGUACCUGCAGAAUAAGCUCCGGCUAACUACGUGCCAGCAGCCGCAGUAAAAC